CCAGCGCGUAGCUUAAUUGGCAGAGCUGCCGGUUUAGGUCCGGUCGGUGGAGGUUCAAACCGCGCCCGCGCGGG
rnacentral:tRNA from 1 species